rnacentral:rRNA from 1 species
AGAGUUUGAUUCUGGCUCAGAACGAACGCCGGCGGCGUGGAUAAGACAUGCAAGUCGAGCGGGAGUCUACGGGUAGCAAUAUUCGUCGGCUCUAGCGGCGUAAGGGUGCGUAACACGUGGGUAAUCUGCCCUGAAGUUAGGAACAACUCCGAGAAAUCGGAGCUAAUACCAAAUGUAAAUCAGUGACGGCAUCGUUACUGGUUCAAAGCUGGGGACCGUAAGGCCUAGCGCUUCAGGAUUAGCCCGCGGCCUAUCAGCUAGUUGGCGGGGUAACAGCCCACCAAGGCUAAGACGGGUAGCUGGUCUGAGAGGACGACCAGCCACACUGGAACUGAGACACGGUCCAGACACCUACGGGUGGCAGCAGUCGAGAAUUUUUCACAAUGGGCGAAAGCCUGAUGGAGCGACGCCGCGUGGGGGAUGAAUGGCUUCGGCCCGUAAACCCCUGUCAUUCGCGGGCAAUGCUGACGCGCUAACACCGCGUCAGUUGAUAGUAGCGAAAGAGGAAGGGACGGCUAACUCUGUGCCAGCAGCCGCGGUAAUACAGAGGUCCCGAGCGUUGUUCGGAUUUACUGGGCGUAAAGGGUGCGUAGGCGGUUGGUUAAGUUCGAUGUGAAAUCUCCAAGCUUAACUUGGAAAAUGCAUUGAAUACUAUCCAGCUAGAGUGUUGAAGAGGAGACUGGAAUUCUCGGUGUAGCAGUGAAAUGCGUAGAUAUCGAGAGGAACACCAGUGGCGAAGGCGAGUCUCUGGGCAACUACUGACGCUGAGGCGCGAAAGCUAGGGGAGCAAACAGGAUUAGAUACCCUGGUAGUCCUUGCCCUAAACGGUGCACGUUUGCUGUGGACGGAUUCGGCCCCGUCCGUGGCGAAGCUAACGCGAUAAACGUGCCGCCUGGGAAGUACGGCCGCAAGGUUAAAACUCAAAGAAAUUGACGGGGGCCUGCACAAGCGGUGGAGUAUGUGGCUCAAUUCGAUUCAACGCGAAGAACCUUACCUGGCCUUGACAUGUAGGUAGUAGAAGCCUGAAAGGGUGACGAGGUAGCAAUACCAGCCUACACAGGUGCUGCAUGGCUGUCGUCAGCUCGUGUCGUGAGAUGUUGGGUUAAGUCCCGCAACGAGCGCAACCCCUGUGUCCUGUUGCCACCCGGUAGCAAUGCCGGAGCACUCUGGACAGACUGCCUCGCUUAAACGAGGAGGAAGGUGGGGAUGACGUCAAGUCAGUAUGGCCCUUACGGCCAGGGCUGCACACGUACUACAAUGCUCGGCACAAUGGGACGCGAGACCGCAAGGUGGAGCAAAUCCCCAAAAACCGAGCCCAGUUCAGAUUGUCGGCUGCAACUCGCCGACAUGAAGCUGGGAUCGCUAGUAAUGGCGCAUCAGCUACGGCGCCGUGAAUACGUUCCCAGGCCUUGUACACACCGCCCGUCACAUCAUGAAAGCCAUUUGUACCCGAAGUCUUCGUGCCAACCGCAAGGGGGCAGAUGCCGAAGGUGUGAAUGGUAAUUGGGAUGAAGUCGGAACAAGGUA